UGAGAAACCUGUCCCGGUCUCUGGAAUAACAGUCGGAAACGACUGCUAAUACCGGAUGCCGUCGGAGCGUCGCAUGGCGCGCUGACGAAAGGGCUACCGGAUCGGGAGGGUCUCGCGGCCUAUCAGCUUGUUGGUGAGGUAACGGCUCACCAAGGCGUCGACGGGUAGCUGGUCUGAGAGGAUGAUCAGCCACACUGGGACUGAGACACGGCCCAGACUCCGUAGGGAGG
rnacentral:rRNA from 1 species